ACUGCCCCCAGACCCCUCCAGGGCCUAAACUACCUAAAGAAACAUUAAGGCCCUUCAGGAACAUAAAGCCUUCAUUGCUUUCACUGGACUCUCAGUUUCAGAAGGCUAUGGCUGCUGGCUCCCUAUUCUACAUUUUUAGUUUUCAGGUUAUGGGCUCAGGAUCAACCGAAGAUCAACCAAAGAUAAACCCAGUAUAAACCCAGAUUAGAGGAGAAAUGCAAAGUUCAGCACAGAACAGAGCAAACCAGUCCUAGCCAGCUACAGCAAAUAAGUGCAAGUCAUAGCAACAGAAUAAAAGAAAAUGGCCAGUAACAAAGCUGAAAGAAAGAUUCCAUUUGCAAAUCUGACAAACUUCCAGAACUACCAGACUUGGGAAUUCAAGAUGAAAAGUGCUGCUAAUAAGAGAAGAGAGAAACAUACUUUGAAAUUCCCUCAAGUCUUCCAAUUAAGGAAGGAAGCAUCCUUUUGGUUACUUUACUAAAGGCAUUUAUUGAUUUCCAUGAAGGAAAUCCUACAUUUCCAAACUUAUGAGGUGCCCACAAAGCUGCAACUUGAUUUUCCAUUCCUCCAUUGCUGAAGGCUGUUCAGCAUGCAACAGCUGAUCUAUGCAGCAUAGCUGCACCACACGCCUGAUGCUCUCAGCAAUCCAAUCAUGCAAAUGCCAAUCUUAGAGAGACAAUGGUCCAGCCAGCAACAGUCCAACCAGCAACAGUCCACGCAAGGAAGUGAGUUUCAGGUACCACGAGCGAUUCUAUCUGAAGCUGCUACACAGCCUAACAAGAGAGACAAAUUGUAUGGCAAAAAGCAUUAUCAACCAGGCUCAAUAGAGCAACACUCCACAUUUGCAGAAACUCUACCAAUUCUUAGUCUAUUUCUCUAGACCACCUACCUGCUGCAAAUGUACUAAAAGUGACUACCGUUGGAACCUGCUCCACAACACAUCUGGUUUCGAUGCCAUCUUUGAAAAAUAAAUAGUUCGGUAGCA